ACGUGUGUUAAAGAAAUAGACGUGGAUUUCUGGGCGCAGGGGCCGGCGGUCUGGGACUGCAACGGGAAGGAGGGCCUCUUUCAUCACUCUGGCUGUACCUGCCUGCAUGCAGCUUGACUUCAAGUACCAAGAGGCGCGGUGUCGAGGGCGUAGCCCCUGGGGGCAGGCGACUGGCCCGACUCCCAGCUCCGCCACUGACCAGCUGUGUGAUCUUAGGGAACUCACUUAACCCCUCUGGACUUAACCUCCCUCCGUAUACACUGGGGACCUUCACAGCAUCCACUUCGAAUGUUGCUCAGUACCUGUUCGGAAGGACUGUCUGGUACAUGCAAGCUUUACCGAUGGGGACACUGAGGCUAACAGGGGGGGUCAGUCCACAACCAGCUCUUCCAGCUUCCCAUUCUCAUCCUCAAGGCCGACUUUCUCUGGGGCUCAAACAAGACAGGGAAGUGGCUCCCUGGAUGAGAUGAAAAUUAAGAUUACAGCACCGAAUGUGUGGAUCUGAGAGAGAAAUUCGAGGAGCAGAGAGCACUGUUGAACACGAAAGAGCCAGCAGAGUAAUGAGAGGCGAGACAGGGAAUAGAAAUGAACAGAAGGGGCACAGCGCCUGUCCGAGGUACGAACGCCCUUC